rnacentral:rRNA from 1 species
CCCUUAGAUGUUCUGGGCCGCACGCACGCUACACUGAUUCAUGCAACAAGUUUUGUCCUUGGCUGAUAGGCCUGGGUAAUCUUUGAACGUGAAUCGUGAUGGGGAUAGAUGAUUGCAAUUAUUCAUCUUCAACGAGGAAUUCCUAGUAAACGCAAGUCAUCAGCUUGCAUUGAUUACGUCCCUGCCCUUUGUACACACCGCCCGUCGCACCUACCGAUUGAAUGGUCCGGUGAAAUCUUCGGAUCUGAGAGAUGUCUGAUUAAUUUCGGACGCCUUUUGGAAAAGUUGUUUAAACCUUACCAUUUAGAGGAAGGUGAAGUCGUAACA